GUGCUUGCUUUGGCAGUACACAUACUAAAAUUGGAAGGAUACACAGAAGAUUAGUAUGGCCUUUGCACAAGGAUGACACAAAUUAGUGAAGCAUUCCAUAUUUUU